GAGUUAGCCGAUGCUUAUUCCUCGAAUACCGUCAGAGCUUCUUCUUCGAGAAAAGAAGUUUACAACCCUCGGGCCGUCAUCCUUCACGCAGCGUCGCUCCGUCAGACUUGCGUCCAUUGCGGAAAAUUCCCCA
rnacentral:rRNA from 1 species